CAUGGGCCGACGUCGCAUGCUCCGGCCGCCAUGGCGGCCGCGGGAAUCGAUUAGAGUUUGAUCAUGGCUCAGAUUGAACGCUGGCGGCAUGCCUUACACAUGCAAGUCGAACGGCAGCACGGGGGCAACCCUGGUGGCGAGUGGCGAACGGGUGAGUAAUACAUCGGAACGUGCCCUGAAGUGGGGGAUAACGUAGCGAAAGUUACGCUAAUACCGCAUAUUCUGUGAGCAGGAAAGCAGGGGAUCGCAAGACCUUGCGCUUUAGGAGCGGCCGAUGUCGGAUUAGCUAGUUGGUGAGGUAAAGGCUCACCAAGGCGACGAUCCGUAGCGGGUCUGAGAGGAUGAUCCGCCACACUGGGACUGAGACACGGCCCAGACUCCUACGGGAGGCAGCAGUGGGGAAUUUUGGACAAUGGGCGCAAGCCUGAUCCAGCCAUGCCGCGUGAGUGAAGAAGGCCUUCGGGUUGUAAAGCUCUUUCGGCGGGGAAGAAAUCGCACAGGUUAAUACCCUGUGUGGAUGACGGUACCCGAAUAAGAAGCACCGGCUAACUACGUGCCAGCAGCCGCGGUAAUACGUAGGGUGCGAGCGUUAAUCGGAAUUACUGGGCGUAAAGCGUGCGCAGGCGGUUUUGUAAGUCAGAUGUGAAAUCCCCGGGCUCAACCUGGGAACUGCAUUUGAGACUGCAGGGCUAGAGUGUGGCAGAGGGGGGUAGAUUUCACGUGUAGCAGUGAAAUGCGUAGAGAUGUGGAGGAACACCAAUGGCGAAGGCAGCCCC
rnacentral:rRNA from 1 species